GCUUUUCUUGCGCGUGCGUGCAUCGCCUUUGUACGGCCGUGGACUGGAGUGACCUUACAGACUGUGGGCCCGAGAGUCCACAGAUGCUUGUCAGGAGACAGGCAGUCAGUCUACCGUUGGAGGUAAACAAAUUAGGGUCCAGCUUAGGCUAGAAGAAAAACGUCUUGCUAAACUACGGACAACGGAAUGUGCCUCUUGAGAUCAUGUGUUGGAUACACGUGUACUUAAAACAGCCCCGCCGCUGUGUAGAGCUCUUGCUGUAAGCCAGAGCUUUAUCAGAGCUAUUGCACUUAAGCCACGGGACAGCCUCACGAGGGGAUUGAAGCCAGGCCCUGCAGCAUGCUAACCACAUGCUCUACCACUGAGCUACACGCUUCUAUUACUAUUUUUUUUAAAAAUGUAGUAUACUGACAAAUGCAGGCUAACUGUCAGCUACAGACGUGAGAACUGCCACCAUUUAAGGAGAUUGGAGACUACAUUCAUGAAUAGUGGCAAAACUGGAACUAAAAUUUGAGUUUCUUAACUCCCAGUUGAAGAUCUUACACCAAAAGGAAAUGAAAAGACAUAAUGUACUUCUUCCUGGUUCCACAAACCACUUCACACCAUCCUAAGAUGAGAAAACUGAAGCUUAAACAAGUUGGGUUAAAAUAUGUCGAGG